GACGAACGCUGGCGGCGUGCUUAACACAUGCAAGUCGAACGGUGAAGGUUCUUUCUUGUUCCUCGUGUGUCGAACGCGUAAGUAACAGUAACGUAACGUGCCUCUGACUUCGAGCGAAGUUCAGGAAAUGGGGGCGAAUGCCGGUACGGAAUCCUUGCUUCAAAGAGAGGGUUUGAGAGUGUCGGCGGUUUUGGAUGGACUCGCGGCUUAUCCGCCUGUUUGUUGGGUAGUUGCUUACGAAGGCGUUGACGGGUAGGCUGCCUGAGAGGGGGACCGGGCACAUUGGGACUGAGAUACGGCGCAGACUCCUACGGGAGGCAGCAGUGGGGAAUAUUGCACAAUGGGCGGAAGCCUGAUGCAGCAACGCCGCGUGCGGGAUGACGGCCUUCGGGUUGUAAACCGCGUUCAGCAGGGGCGAAGCUUGUGGUGACGGUACCUGCAGAAGAAGCACCGGCUAACUACGUG
rnacentral:rRNA from 1 species